GUGAGCUGAUGGAUGACUGACAUCAGGAAGUGUUCACAACUGGCUGCUUGCAGAAGCCUUUGAGGAGCAAUGGAGCUGUGGUUUCCUUCCUUAUGAAACACCCAGUUUCUAGCAGCUGGACCUGGCUGCUGAACUGGAGACUUAGAAGAACAGGAGCAGAAAGGGUGAAGACCUACCUGGUAACAGCUUGUCCUGCUUCCCCAGUAGGGUCUGCUUCUCAACCCAGGUCUUCAGAGCCAGGUUCUCCCAUGGCACAGACAUCCCAACUCAUCCACCACUGACUGUCCUCCUAUGCCCAGGCUUUCUUCCCAGGGCUGGUUCAGGAUUCUGCUGAGCAUGGUUGAGUGUGGUGACGUAUCCCUGGACUUCAAGAGCCCAGUCCUGGACAGGAGAGAUACUGGAGCACAGCCCACGGGUUGGGAGGGAAUAGCUGCAGCUUGGCUUCUCCUCUCUGACCACCAGCCAGCUCCCUAUCUCAGGAUGGAUCCAACAGGAGCACAGGAGCUCACAUCCAAGAAGCCCCAGUGCUCUGCCAGGGCCACACAGAAACAGGGCUGAACCUGGGGCCCAUUGAAGGGAGCAGGAGACAUCAACAGGACCAGGCUGCUGCUCACAGCCUCCUUUUGCGGAUGGACACAUCACCCCAUUGCUGAGAGAAGAAAGAAAACAAAGCAAUGCCAAAAGAAAAAAAUAGAACAAAUCAUGUUUCAGCACAACUAGUAUUUUUUUUGUAUUUUUCUCCCCUCUACUGAUAUGUAAAAAAAAUAUAUAUUAUAUUAUAUUUUCCUUUUC
rnacentral:lncRNA from 14 species